rnacentral:rRNA from 1 species
GAUGAACGCUGACAGAAUGCUUAACACAUCAGCAAUUGAUUGGUGGUGGACGGGUGAGUAACGCGUAAAGAACUUACCUCACAGUUAGGGACAACAUUUGGAAACGAAUGCUAAUACCUAAUACUGUGAGAGAGCUUUGCGUCCCAUUAGCUAGUUGGAGAGGUAACGGCUCACCAAGGCGAUGAUGGGUAGCCGGCCUGAGAGGGUGAUCGGCGACAAGGGGACUGAGACACGGCCCUUACUCCUACGGGAGGCAGCAGUGGGGAAUAUUGGACAAUGGACCAAAGUCUGAUCCAGCAAUUCUGUGUGCACGAUGAAGUUUUCGGAAUGUAAAGUGCUUUCAGUUGGGAAGUGUUAAUACCACAACGAUUGACGUUACCGACAGAAGAAGCACCGGCUAACUCCGUGCCAGCAGCCGCGGUAAUUC